rnacentral:lncRNA from 1 species
UCAAAGCCAUUAGCAAAUUUGAACAAAAAAAUUAGGAGCCAUCAGCAAAACCAGCAAUUAGAAAACAAAGCCAGCAAUUACAAAACACUAAACCUUCACCCAGCAAUUACAAACAAAGCUAGCAAAACCAACAUAACCAGCAACUACAAAUCAAAGCAAAACCAGCAACUACAACACAAUGAAAAACAGAUAUGAAAUUAAAAAGAGCCCCACAACACAAUGAACAAUAACAAGUUAGGAGCCAUCAGCAAUUAAAAACAGGA